rnacentral:SRP_RNA from 1 species
GCUGGGUGUGGUGGCGGGCACCUGUAAUCCCAGCUACUCAGGAGGCUGAGGCAGGAGAAUUGCUUGAACCCAGAAGGUGGAGGUUGCAGUGAGCUGAGAUUGUGCCACUGUACUCCAGCCUGGGUAAGAAAGCAAGACUCUGUCUUUA